rnacentral:rRNA from 1 species
GCUAGCGUUGCUCGGAAUCACUGGGCGUAAAGCGCACGUAGGCGGCCACGCAGGUCCGUUGUGAAAACUGGAGGCUCAACCUCCAGCUGUCGACGGAAACCGUAUGGCUAGAGUCCGGAAGAGGCGAGUGGAAUUCCCGGUGUAGCGGUGAAAUGCGCAGAUAUCGGGAGGAACACCAAUGGCGAAGGCAGCUCGCUGGGACGGUACUGACGCUGAGACGCGAAAGCGUGGGGAGCAAACAGG